ACCUCCAAGGAGGUGCAUUGGCUGUGGAUUCUCACUUUGUGGGAUCCAUGGGAUAGUCCCAUGAUCCCAAGAGAGAGCAGUCAUGAGCCAGCCUGAAGAUACAUCAAGCAGAAUCCCAGGAUUGAACCACAAAAUCCCUAAGGAUACAAAAAAAUCUGCGGGGUUUCUCAGGUCUGCCUAGGCAUUGUAGAUGCACUUAACAUCUCUAGGAGGAACACCUGCAUCAUCUUGGGAUUUCAUCCUGUGACAAGGAGUGUCAGCAGCAAUAAGCCUCCAACAAGGAAACUCCUGUUCUCCCAAUUCUAUUGGAAGGCUGCAUGAUUCCUGUAGCAUGAGAAGAAGGCCGUCAUGUCUGGCUUCUUACUGGUAAUCUAGCCACUGUUUCAUUUCAACUGCACAGCCUUCUUUUUGUGGAGGGGUAUGAAAUCCCUAAGGAUACAAAGGGACCUUCAGGAUUCCCCAGGCCUGCCUGAUGGGUGAGUCUUUUUGAAAGUUGCCCCUCUGUGAUUUCUAGGUACAUCCCCACUGUGUUCCCCGAGUUUACUCUCUCACAGGUGGGGCUUUCUGCAAAACCACACAGACUCAAGAGCUAUCUGGCUGUGUGUUUCUGGGGGAGUGUUGUAAGUGUUAAAUGUCUGUAUGUGUGUGUGUGUGUGGCAUUAUGUGUUUGUGUGUGUGUGCAUGCCUGUAAGUGGAGCUGGCUUAAAGAAAUGUGGCUAACGCACUUCAACACUUCUUUUUCAUGUGUCUACCAAUUUUUUUGUAACCUAUCUGUGUGGCUCUGCUUGGGCUGUGGGGCUCUGUUUUUUUUAUUUUUCUGUGGAUUAUGAAUACGCAGUGAAUUGGAAGGCUUGCAGAGACUCGUUGGAGUCCAUAUCAACUCCUACUGCAAAAAAAA
rnacentral:lncRNA from 1 species